AAAGGGGCUGAGCCGGCAGCCACGGGGUUCCUGUAGGGUCAGGCUCUGCUGGUGCCAGCAGUAGAGUGGGAACACGUGGCAGGUUGAUGAGGAGGGAGUGCUGUGACCCCGUGCCUGUGACAGUGGUUUCAGGGCCCCCGGGGGGGCUGUGAGCGCGGCCCCCGGUGCCGGUGCCGGUGC